rnacentral:rRNA from 1 species
AUUGAACGCUGGCGGCAUGCUUUACACAUGCAAGUCGAACGGUAACAGGGAGCUUGCUCCGCUGACGAGUGGCGAACGGGUGAGUAAUGCAUCGGAACGUACCCAGUCGUGGGGGAUAACGUAGCGAAAGUUACGCUAAUACCGCAUACGUCCUGAGGGAGAAAGCGGGGGACCGUAAGGCCUCGCGCGAUUGGAGCGGCCGAUGUCGGAUUAGCUAGUUGGUGGGGUAAAGGCCUACCAAGGCGACGAUCCGUAGCGGGUCUGAGAGGAUGAUCCGCCACACUGGGACUGAGACACGGCCCAGACUCCUACGGGAGGCAGCAGUGGGGAAUUUUGGACAAUGGGGGCAACCCUGAUCCAGCCAUGCCGCGCGAGUGAAGAAGGCCUCGGUUGUAAG